rnacentral:rRNA from 1 species
UACGUAGGGUGCAAGCGUUGUCCGGAAUUAUUGGGCGUAAAGAGCUCGUAGGCGGUUUGUCGCGUCUGCUGUGAAAACCUAAGGCUCAACCUUGGGCUUGCAGUGGGUACGGGCAGACUAGAGUGCGGUAGGGGUGACUGGAAUUCCUGGUGUAGCGGUGGAAUGCGCAGAUAUCAGGAGGAACACCGAGUGGCGAGGGCAGGUCACUGGGCCGCAACUGACGCUGGAGGAGCGAAAGCCAUGGGGAGCGAACAGG